rnacentral:rRNA from 1 species
CAGUCGAACGGUGAAGCCAAGCUUGCUUGGUGGAUCAGUGGCGAACGGGUGAGUAACACGUGAGCAACCUGCCCUGGACUCUGGGAUAAGCGCUGGAAACGGCGUCUAAUACUGGAUAUGAGACGUGAUCGCAUGGUCGUGUUUGGAAAGAUUUUUCGGUCUGGGAUGGGCUCGCGGCCUAUCAGCUUGUUGGUGAGGUAAUGGCUCACCAAGGCGUCGACGGGUAGCCGGCCUGAGAGGGUGACCGGCCACACUGGGACUGAGACACGGCCCAGACUCCUACGGGAGGCAGCAGUGGGGAAUAUUGCACAAUGGGCGGAAGCCUGAUGCAGCAACGCCGCGUGAGGGAUGACGGCCUUCGGGUUGUAAACCUCUUUUAGCAGGGAAGAAGCGAAAGUGACGGUACCUGCAGAAAAAGCGCCGGCUAACUACGUGCCAGCAGCCGCGGUAAUACGUAGGGCGCAAGCGUUAUCCGGAAUUAUUGGGCGUAAAGAGCUCGUAGGCGGUUUGUCGCGUCUGCUGUGAAAUCCCGAGGCUCAACCUCGGGCCUGCAGUGGGUACGGGCAGACUAGAGUGCGG